UUACAUUAUUGUUGUUUAUUGUUACAUUAUUGCACGUUUCAUAUCAUUUUUAAAAGUAUUUUAUCCGUUUUCCAGACUUGUACGAUAAUUUUUCGGCCUCUGGUACGAUAGUUGCCUGGCUUCAGGUUGUGAACACUGAUCUUCAUUCGUUAUUUGUGCUUGAAAAGUUUGAAGUGUCAAAUUAAUCAAAAUAUAAAUAAAGUUGUUUUUCUGUUUUAAUACGGUUUACACCUAUAACGAUACUAAAAUAUACAAAUAACGAUGUCAGCAAGCAGCCAACGGGCAAACAAGGACCGUACUAACUGGGCUCAAAAAGAAACCGCCAAAUUGAUGAUGCUACUCAAGGAUUACCCAGUCCUAACCUGAAAAGAAACGGAUCACUCCAGCAAUCUAUCAAAACAAAA